rnacentral:rRNA from 1 species
CAAUAGCGUAUAUUAAAGUUGUUGCAGUUAAAAAGCUCGUAGUUGAAUUUUUGCUUGCCGCCGAUGUCGGAACUUCCGUACGUUCGGCGGCGUGCAUCAUUGGGUGGAACCUGUGUGGCAUUAGGUUGUCGUGCAGGGGAUGCUCAUCGUUUACUGUGAAAAAAUUAGAGUGUUCAAAGCAGGCUUACGCCGUUGAAUAUAUUAGCAUGGAAUAAUAAGAUAGGACCUUGGUACUAUUUUGUUGGUUUGCGCACCGAGGUAAUGAUUAACAGGGACAGUUGGGGGUAUUCGUAUUCCAUUGUCAGAGGUGAAAUUCUUGGAUUUCUGGAAGACGAACUACUGCGAAAGCAUUUACCAAGGAUGUUUUCAUUAA